CCCUGAGCCCUCAGGUGCAAGGAUGGCUCUUCCAUGACCACAUCCGGGGCAGGGUGGGGGCAUCAUGGCAGCUGUGCCCUCCAGCCACCUUGCACUCAGCUAGGAAAGCUCUGUGUGGGGGGAGGGAAGAGAGAUAGUGUGGAGCCUCUCCUCCCCCCACUUCUCCACAAACUGGUGGCAUUUGUGGUAAACCAAGGACCUGGGGAGGUGGCCUACAAGAGGAGCAGGAGCCGGCAAGGUCAGAUGCGAGGUGUCCAGCCUGCAUAAAGGGGGUGUGAGGGUGUAUCAGCAGCUGCCUUGCCAUGGCCUCCUGGGCCCUCCUGCUCCUCGCCUCGGUGCUCCUGGCCACCCCAGGUCUGACCUAUUCUGGUCUGAUCCCUGAGGACCAUGAUGACCUGUCCACGGCCGACAUUUGUCAGGAAGAGCAGUUCUUCAGGAGACUGGCCCAGGAGGCUGCCCAGGGCGACCAGUUCAACCAAUGUGAUAUUUGUCGAAUGAUAAUGACUUGGCUGAGGACUUGCGUGGGACCGUCCCAGAUUCAGGAAGCCAUUCAGAAGGCUACAACAGCGGUGUGCUCAAAGAUUCCAGCGGUGGAAAAAAAGUCUGCAAAGAUAUCCUCACCAGAGUUUUGUGGUAGUGUUGCCCAGUUUUUUCCUGAAUAGUGAUCCCUCCAGGGAUAUCUGUGUGAC
rnacentral:lncRNA from 1 species